AGAGUUUGAUUCUGGCUCAGGACGAAACGCUGGCGGCGUGCUUACCCCAAGCAAGUCGAACCGUUAGGCCCCCGCUUGCUGGGGUACACGAGUGGCGAACGGGUGAGUAACACGUGGUGGACCUCCCCCGCACUUCGGGAUAAGCCUGGGAAACUGGGUCUAAUACCGGAUAGGACCGCACCGUGAGGGUGUGGUGGAAAGUUUUUCGGUGUGGGAUGGGCCCGCGGCCUAUCAGCUUGUUGGUGGGGUAAUGGCCUACCAAGGCGGCGACGGGUAGCCGGCCUGAGAGGGUGGACGGCCACAUUGGGACUGAGACACGGCCCAGACUCCUACGGGAGGCAGCAGUGGGGAAUAUUGCACAAUGGGCGGAAGCCUGAUGCAGCGACGCCGCGUGGGGGAUGACGGCCUUCGGGUUGUAAACUCCUUUCACCAUCGACGAAGGUUUUCUGACGGUAGAUGGAGAAGAAGCACCGGCUAACUACGUGCCAGCAGCCGCGGUAAUACGUAGGGUGCGAGCGUUGUCCGGAAUUACUGGGCGUAAAGAGCUCGUAGGUGGUUUGUCGCGUCGUCUGUGAAAUUCCGGGGCUUAACCUCGGGCGUGCAGGCGAUACGGGCAAUACUUGAGUGCUGUAGGGGAGACUGGAAUUCCUGGUGUAGCGGUGAAAUGCGCAGAUAUCAGGAGGAACACCGAUGGCGAAGGCAGGUCUCUGGGCAGUAACUGACGCUGAGGAGCGAAAGCAUGGGUAGCGAACGGGAUUAGAUACCCUGGUAGUCCAUGCCGUAAACGGUGGGCGCUAGGUGUAGGGGUCUUCCACGACUUCUGUGCCGUAGCUAACGCAUAANGCGCCCCG
rnacentral:rRNA from 1 species